UCCAUUUGUCUGAGCGCACAGUCCGGCAGUGAAUGGGUUAGUUUCGCAUUACAAUAGACUAGAGAGUUUGGAGAAACAUGCUCUCCAGCCAUCUUUACCUCGGGACGACGGUUUUGAUUUGGAGUUGGAGCAGUCUAGUUUUUUUUGUAGCUGUAAAUGAAAACCUGACUAAACUGGCGAGAAGCCUAAUCUAAUUAUAGAGAGUUUGACUCGAGAGCAAAAAGGCGCAGAAAGUUGGUUUCGCGGGAGCGAAGAGAAAACACUGUAAAACUCUACUCGCGAGACAAAGAAAAAGAAGAGAAGCUUCUUCGGUAGACGCCUCUACGAAUUACAACCGUUGCUGAAGAAGAGAACAUCUUAUAUGAAAGAAAAAUAUUUUUUUACUUACCAGACAUAUUGGUCUGAAAAGGAGGAAAUCUCUGGAAGAGCUACAGUAAAAUACCCCAACUUCACUUCUUUGCUCUGUUGUAUGGGCAAGAACGAAUUAUUCACAAAAGUCUUAAAAAGUCUCAAUAAAGUAAGCUCAAAACACUCUCAGGACAUACAAUUAUACAGUAAUAUAGCUAGGGAUAUUUUAGUUUGAGUUUUUCUCCCCUCAUCCCUACUAUUUAAAACCCCAAGAACUCAAUGAUUUGACAAUGAUUUGAUUGCGCGAUACUUUCAAUUUGAAUAUUCAAAGGCUUCGUAAAAAGACUUAUUUCUGAGUGAUAUUCGCUAUUAAAGUGCAUAUAACAA